rnacentral:tRNA from 1 species
GUUUUAAUAGUUUAACUAAAACUUUGGUCUUGUAAGCCAAAAAUGAAUUUUUUUCUUAAAACU